GACGAACCGUGCAAACGUUGUUCGGAAUCACUGGGCUUAAAGGGCGCGUAGGCGGCUCGCCAAGUCGGGGGUGAAAUCUAUCGGCUCAACCGGAAAAGUGCCUUCGAUACUGGCGGGCUGGAGGGAGGUAGGGGCAUGUGGAACUUCCGGUGGAGCGGUGAAAUGCGUUGAUAUCGGAAGGAACGCCGGUGGCGAAAGCGACGUGCUGGACCUCUUCUGACGCUGAGGCGCGAAAGCUAGGGGAGCGAACGGG
rnacentral:rRNA from 1 species